rnacentral:rRNA from 1 species
AUACGUAGGGGACGAGCGUUGUCCGGAAUUACUGGGCGUAAAGGGCGCGCAGGCGGAUAUUUAAGUCAGCUGUAAAAGGCAUGAGCUCAACUCAUGUAUGCGGUUGAAACUGGGUAUCUAGAGUGCUGGAGAGGUAGGCGGAAUUCCCGGUGUAGCGGUGAAAUGCGUAGAUAUCGGGAAGAACACCAGUGGCGAAGGCGGUUUGCUGGCUGCAUACGGACGCUGAAGCGCGAAAGCCAGGUGAGCAAACGGGAUUAGAUACCCCGAUAGACCGGGCAGUAAACGAUGUAUGCUGGGUGUGAGACUAGCGAUAGUUUCGUGCCGAAGGUAACGCGAUAAGCAUACCGCCUGGGGAGUUCGGUCGCAAGAUUGAAGCUCAAAUGAAUUGACGGGA